GACGAACGCUGGCGGCGUGCUUAACACAUGCAAGUCGAACGGAAAGGCCCUGCUUUUGUGGGGUGCUCGAGUGGCGAACGGGUGAGUAACACGUGAGUAACCUGCCCUUGACUUUGGGAUAACUUCAGGAAACUGGGGCUCAUACCGGAUAGGAGCUCCUGCUGCAUGGUGGGGGUUGGAAAGUUUCGGCGGUUGGGGAUCGACUCGCGGCUUAUCAGCUUGUUGGUGGGGUAGUGGCUUACCAAGGUUUUGACGGGUAGCCGGCCUGAGAGGGUGACCGGCCACAUUAGGACUGAGAGACGGCCCAGUCGCCUACGGGAGGCAGCAGUGGGGAAUAUUGCACAAUGGGCGGAAGCCUGAUGCAGCAACGCCGCGUGCGUGAUGACGGCCUUCGGGUUGUAAACCGCUUUCGCCUGUGACGAAGCGUGAGUGACGGUAAUGGGUAAAGAAGCACCGGCUAACUACGUG
rnacentral:rRNA from 1 species